rnacentral:rRNA from 1 species
CCCUUAGAUGUUCUGGGCCGCACGCGCGCUACACUGAUGCAUUCAACAAGCCUAGCCUUGACCGAGAGGUCCGGGUAAUCUUUGAAACUGCAUCGUGAUGGGGCUAGAUUAUUGCAAUUAUUAAUCUUCCACGAGGAAUGCCUAGUAAGCGUGAUUCAUCAAAUCGCGUUGAUUACGUCCCUGCCCUUUGUACACACCGCCCGUCGCUCCUACCGAUUGAAUGUGUUGGUGAGGAGCUCGGAUUGGCAGCAGUUGGUGGUUCGCCACCGGCUAUUGCUGAGAAGUCCUCCAAACCGCCCCAUUUAGAGGAAGGAGAAGUCGUAACA